rnacentral:sRNA from 1 species
AACCUAGAAAAGGCACCACUGAAAGUACUUGAAAACUGGUGGUCAGUACUUGAACCUCCACUAUUCCUCAAGAUAGUAGAACUUUUUAAGGAAGUUGUGGUACAUCUUUUGAAACUCUACAAGAUCGGUAUUCCCCCUUCUGAAAGAAGAAUUUUCAACAGUUUUCUUCAUACUGCAUUAAAGGUUUUAGAAAUACUACAUAGGGUAAAUGAGAAAACGGGACAGAUUAUACAGUACGAUAAAUUUUAUAUACAUGAAGUACAAGAAUUGAUAGACAUAAGAAAUGAUUAUAUCAACUGGGUCCAACAGCAGGCCUAUGGAAUGGUAGGUUUUCUGUGCAAUUUGUGAUUUCAUUUUUAUGUAUAUGUAUCUAAUAAAAAAAGAAACAAUUGCUUGGUUUUGAAAUGAGAAAGUUUUUUCAGAACUUUUAUCCAGAACUUACUUUUUAAAUAAUAACACAUUGCAAAGGAGUGCUAUAUAUUUUACAAUAUUUAUAUGCAAACAUUCUACUCUUUUACCAAAGCCAAACCAAAGAAAUGGAUUACACUUUAAAACAAAACAAAAAAAACCUACAAGUGUGAAAUGGAUUUUUAACUCUUAUUUUCCAUGAGGUUGCCUCUUAUUUCUCCAGUGUUGAAAAUACUGACGUUCUUCAUACUAGAACUCCUAAGAAUGCAUUAUUGUUGUGAAAUUGGUGCUUCAAGACUACCAAAAGAGGGCUGGGUGUGGUGGCUCAUGCCUGUAAAGUUAGCACUUUGGGAGCCUGAGGCAGGUGGAUUGCCUGAGCUCAGGAUUUCAAGACCAGCCUAGGCAACAUGACGAAACCCCAUCUCUACUAAAAAUACAAAAAAUUAGCCAAGUGUGGUGGCACAUGCCUGUAAUCCCAGCUACUCAGAAGGCUGAGGCAUGAGAAUCACUUGAACCUGGGGGAUGGAGGUUGCAGUGAGCCGAUUGUGUGUUUACUUUUAUUUCAGAUUUUUUGUAUAAAUGUGGGUGCAUACAUCUUUUUAUGCAGCUAAGUCUUUAAUAACUAGACACUAUCCCAUUAAAAUAGUACCAUGGUCUUAGAAAACUUGAAUUAGGCACAUAAAAUUUUAAUGCAGAAAUGGGUAAGCAGUUAGAUACAAAAUAUUUAGGUUUGCUACUCUUAUUUGCUAGCCAUUUUUGUAUACUUGAGGCCCACUUUUCUGUACCCAGGUAAUUUAAUAUGUGUGCAGCAGUUAUAUAAUAGAAGGGUGAGUAACCUUUCAUUGCUUGCUAGGCACCAGCUGUAAGCUCCUUGUGGAUGGGUGCUCUUGUCAGUCAACCAGCACCUCUGACAGUGUCUAGAAUAUGUCUAGUAAGCACUAAAAAAGUACAGUAGUUUUUGAAUGGCAAUCUGGUUAGUGCAUGCUGUUUUUAGGAUACUCCCACCUCCCGGAAUCAGGUUGCUUCUAGACAUCUUUUCCUUCCCUAGUGUACUUGGGUCUGGACUAGGAGAGACUCAUUGACUUUUCUCCUGAGUCACCUUGAGGCUGGGUCAGGUUUAUAGCCAUUCUGUAGAUUUAGGUCUACUCAUUUGCUUAUUCAACAAACAAUGAGAAUCUGUUAUAUAACAGGCACUGAUUUAGGUACUGGAAAUACAGUGGUGAACCAGACAGAGCCUUGUUUCUCAUGGAAUUCGUAAUCUACUGGGCAAGAUUGGCAAUAGUCAAACAAAGCAAAAAAUACCAGCUAAUAAUAUGUAUUAUUAAAAUGAGGGGACUUAGUAAAGUUAGGUUUCAGAAAAGACUUAUCUAAUGAAGUAUGAGUAUUAAUCUGAAUGACAAGGAGCAGCCCUUUAAGAUCAGGGCAGAGAGAAUUUCAAGAACAAUGAACAUUUGGUAAAAUACCUUAGGUGAAAACAAGCUUGACAUGAUUGAAAGAUAGAAAAAAGCCAGCAUUAGGCCAGGCGUGGUGGCUCACGCCUGGAAUCCCAGCAUUUUGGGAGGCCAAGGUGGGCGGAUCAUGAGGUCAGGAGUUCGAGACCAGCCUGACCGACAUAGUGAAACCCCGUCUCUACUAAAAAUACAAAAACUUAGCCAGGCAUGGUGGUGGGUGCCUGUAAUCUCAGCUACUUGGGAGGCUGAGGCAGGAGAAUUGCUUGAACCCAGGAGGUGGAGGUUGCAGUGAGCCUAGAUUGCACCAUUGCACUCCAGCAUGGGCGACAGCGUGAGACUCCUUUC